rnacentral:rRNA from 1 species
GGGGGCAACCCUGAUCCAGCAAUGCCGCGUGUGUGAAGAAGGCCUUCGGGUUGUAAAGCACUUUUGUCCGGAAAGAAAUCCNUUGGCCUAAUACCGCGGGGGGAUGACGGUACCGGAAGAAUAAGCACCGGCUAACUACGUGCCAGCAGCCGCGGUAAUACGUAGGGUGCGAGCGUUAAUCGGAAUUACUGGGCGUAAAGCGUGCGCAGGCGGUUUGAUAAGACAGGCGUGAAAUCCCCGGGCUUAACCUGGGAAUGGCGCUUGUGACUGUCAGGCUAGAGUGCGUCAGAGGGGGGUAGAAUUCCACGUGUAGCAGUGAAAUGCGUAGAGAUGUGGAGGAAUACCGAUGGCGAAGGCAGCCCCCUGGGACGUGACUGACGCUCAUGCACGAAAGCGUGGGGAGCAAACAGGAUUAGAUACCCUGGUAGUCCACGCCCUAAACGAUGUCAACUAGUUGUUGGGGAUUCAUUUCUUCAGUAACGUAGCUAACGCGUGAAGUUGACCGCCUGGGGAGUACGGUCGCAAGAUUAAAACUCAAG